UGCGAGGUGAGGCCCAUGGGAACAUGGAAUAAUCUUCAGAAAGGUUUCACAGUCAAUGAGCGUCUUCCAGACACUCUCGUUGAUGUUGCUGUUUGCAAUGUUUAUUUUGGCGUUGCUAACAUACAUCGACAAAAGGAACAAAUAAAAAAGCCGCCCUGCGUAACUUUGGUCGGUUACAGGGCGACAAUGUAGUUUUGUAAUCUAGGCCACCGCCUUUAAAGCGGCUUGUAUGGGAAGUCCUGUUCCAGCGGGGCUU
rnacentral:sRNA from 1 species